UAGAUACCCUGGUAGUCCUGACAGUAAACGGUGCACGCUUGGUGUGGGAAGGUUCGACCCUUUCUGUGCCGGAGCUAACGCGUUAAGCGUGCCGCCUGGGGAGUACGGUCGCAAGAUUAAAACUCAAAGAAAUUGACGGGGACCCGCACAAGCGGUGGAGCAUGUGGCUUAAUUCGAUGCAACGCGAAGAACCUUACCUGGGCUUGACAUGGUAGUCGUAGACUUGUGAAAGCUUGUCGUCACUUCGGGU
rnacentral:rRNA from 1 species